ensembl:lncRNA
UGAGCGGGGACUCGAUGGCUUUGUGUUGUAGAGAGGACCGGGGAGUCCUGUGGGGUACCAGUGUAUCGUCAUGGCGACCCGUCCAAUACUUUUCUUGCCAUAUUGUUUCCAUCGGUGAACCAGAUGUGAUCGCAAGCGGCGAGUUACAAAAAGUUAGAGAGCGGAGAGAGCUGCCGUAGACGGGCGGAACGCAGCAUGGCCGUGUCAGAUUCUCCCUCGCUGCCUGCCAUUCAAAUCUCUUGCUCAAUACGGUUACCGUGGCAACUGGCCACUUGUUGUGGCGAGCGGGCGACGGUACGAGAUGAGACUGGCUUUUGGUUUAUUCUGUAGCUCCAUCACGCAGAUCUCCUUAGAGCCGUAAUGCCCCACUUCCCCUUUUCUCAACCCCCAAGAAAGGACACUAAGAAAGAGACCGAGGACGAACAACGAACACAACCCAAACCCCAGGUUAGACCGGCGACUCUACGAGGCUCUAUGAAAUGGAUGUCUGAGGAUUGAUCGUGACACAGCACUUAAUAAAAGUCACAUUUGACAGUUUUGAUUCUCUAAUCCAUUGAUUAGGUAUUUGAGAAGUAUGAAAAAGAUGUCAAGUGAAGUCAAAAUGCAGUUUGAAUGAAAGAACCCUCUAUUUAAACGCCGGGUUGGACUCGCCGGGCUGGUCUCCGUCCACACUUCACCGCUCCCACAGCAACAUCUGGAGGUCAUCGACCCGCUCAGCGGUCACGGGCAUGUUCUACUAGUAGUGAGCGAGGAGUCAGUGGCCGAAUAAAUGCAGGAGCUUUUGGUUCAAAGGACGUGCAUGGUGCUAAAUUGACGGCAAUGAUUUACACUUAUGUAAAGAAUACUUUAUUACAAAGAAAACAGUGGUAUGAAAAAAAGCACAUGAAGGGAUUGUAGAUGCUUCAGCAAAAAGAGAUGAAACUCAGCUCACUAAGAGGACGCC